CUGUAGCAUUUGAAGUAAGAAACUGAUUGAUUAUAUAUGUUUCUAUAACCUACAUCCUUAGAUCUCCAGACAGAAAAGUACAAGUGAAUGGCCCACAGAGCACCGUCUAGUAGCGACUUGCUACUGACAACGCCAGUAUGCAAUUUGUGUCUGAACAGCAAGAUGUUUCAUAUUUCUAGUGUACCAUUGGCUACUCAUCCAGAUUUGGAACCAUAUUUUCAAAGAAUUGCAGAUGGAGACUUGUCACCUAUACUUACUGGGAGAUCCAUAACAACCAUAUCAUUAAGUUCUGGUACUACACAGGGAAAGCCCAAUUUUGUUCCAUUUAAUGAGGAAUUGAUGAAAUCGACAUUGUAGAUAUUUCGUAUGUCCUAUGCUUUCAGAAACAGGUAAGUGAAAUUGCUGAAAAGCUGUGACUUACCGCUGUGCUUCUAGCUAACUCACUUUUGGCUUACAACUUUGCUUCUCAAUCACUCAC